GUUUUUCAAAGUCUUGGCAGGAGCUCCAGUCCUGAAGUGAGAAAGGCUGUUUACAUUCUAGAAGGGCAGUCCCGAGAAAUGUCUUGCAUCAGGGCUGUUCCCGGCCAAUCCCUACUCCCCAGAAGCUUCUUUCUCUCUGGGGUGGCUUGGGACAGCCAGAGAGAUGGUGUGGAACCCAAGGAAGGCGCUUGAGCAUGAAAAAGGGAGGCUACGAGGAAGCAUUCAUUGAGCCCCAGGGCUCUGCCACAGCCCUGUGUAAACUGUGCUCCAUUGAAAGGUGGGCAAGUAUCUCCAAGGCUCUUGUUGCCUCAUUGUCUGGGGCAGUGCCUCGCACAGAGCAUAGUGCUAGGUGUUGGUGCUCAACAGACAUUACUAAGUCAAUAACUGUGCAAACGCGUGAGCAAGAAAAUCCGAGAGGGCACACUGGUGGAAGUUCUCAGCUGACACCAGCUAAUAGCUUUCUCUCAACAGGACUUGCGUUAAGAAUCACAAUCAUUACUAUCUAUUAUCUAGUCUAUGCCAUGCAAAGGCAUAGAUGGUUUCCUUAAAUUCUACAGCAGGCAGUAGUUCUACAAAGCCGGUGGUCCUGGUUCUAGUUAAUAGCUGAGGAGGGCGCAGGGCACAAGGUCAGGGGAUCUUGCCUCAGGUUUCCCAGGAUUCAAAGCCUCUGGCAAGCACCGGAGCCCGGGGUUUUCUUCUUGCCAUCUCUCCACCCUGCCGCUCAGCCCUGCUGGUCUCUGCAUCCUGUAACAGCACAGGAGAAGGGGACCUCAAGGGGCACAGAGGCCACACUUUCCUGCCCUGCUGUGGGCAGCUACGCAUUCUCCUUGUCAUUCCUUCCUCCAACAGCUGGGCUUGGAUUCGGCAGGAAAGAACACUGGGAAGCAGUUUCAUUCCAGGCGUCUGUGUUUCGUACUGAAAAACACCCACCUGUCUUCAGGCCUUCUGGUACCUCAGUCUCCAGACCUUCCCCAGAAAACAUCCUAUCCCUCUCCCUGACACCUUCCCUCUUCUGAUGGGCCUCAUGGCCAGGUAUUCUCUUCACUGGAAAAAAAUCUUGCCAUGAAUAGUAUUCUACGGACAGUGCCUGACACCGUACAUACCCUCCAUAAAUAUUUACCGAACUGCACGCUAACCUCCAGACAAAAGAAGAAAAAACAAAACAAAACAGGGAUCCAGAAGGAAAUGGAAAAGCUUAGAGGGUGGGUGAGGGGGCCCAGCAAGCAGCCAGCUCUCCUCUUUCCCGGCCUCUCCCUGCCUGAGUAAAGAAGCGGGGGCAGAUUCAGAGUUAAUGCUGCUGUCGUUUGAUUACAGUAACAUCAAAACCGACAGCAAAGCUCCAGUCAACGCCAGAGCACAAGCGAACACGCAGGGGCUGGUUUCCUUGGAAAUGUUUCAGCGAGAGCAGCCCAGCCUGUUGUGCAGAGUACAGAAUGUUCUCUUCUGUGAACUGAGCUUGAACUUCUCCAACCCACUUUGUCUGAGGAAUCACACAGACACAGAGGGGAAAAGGCAGGGAAGAUAACCCCCAAAUUGUUGAAAUCCUUGUGUUCUCUCUGGUUUUGGCUCGCAUCGUUGGCUUUGCACUGUGCAAAAUGACAAAUCCCAAGCAUUGCAGCUCUUGGAUGAACAAAA